UGUAAAUUCUUUGACAUGGUAGUGUAAGUAGAGUUUAACCUAGGAUUUUGUGAUGAAUUUUGUUCUAGAGUUUUGCUAAGCCUUGAUUGUUUUUGCAGCUCUUCGGAUUGGGCAUUGCUUACUUCAGUUCAUUCUAGUAGUGGACAGUGCAGGUUGACUACUACAAGGUUAGAAGUGGUUUAUUUUCUAGGGAUGAUGGAAAGGAAGGACCUGGUAUUGCUACUUUGGUUUAUGCAUAGUUGAAUAAUGAUUUCUCUGUAACCAUUAAUAACAUUCAUAGUACGUGUUGUCAUUGCAAGCUGUAUAAAUUGCUUCAUUUUGUCAAAUGUUAUUCAUAAUAUUUUAAUCA